rnacentral:sRNA from 1 species
AUUGAAUCAAUUAAUAAUAAAUUAAGAAUAAACUUGGGAGCAUGUGUAGAUUGGCUCUCAAAGAAUAAUAAUAAUAUGUGAUCUGAUUGAUGAUUGCUCGAGAGAGGAGCAUGAUUAAGCUCCGUGUGAUCGAGCAUGAAGUUGUGUGUGUAGCAUUGCAAUUUGUAACUGUGUCCAGUUGUUUUGGACACCGUUCAAUUGGAUAUUAAUUGUGGCCACCUUGUAAAUUAGUAGUAGUUGAAAACAUUGUAUUAGAGCUGUAAGUUUCGUUGUACCAUGUUUGUACAUGGGGUUUGUAAUGUUAGCUAUUCAAAAAUCCAUGUUUAUGU